rnacentral:rRNA from 1 species
AUCUCUUGGUUCCAGCAUCGAUGAAGAACGCAGCGAAAUGCGAUAAGUAAUGUGAAUUGCAGAAUUCAGUGAAUCAUCGAAUCUUUGAACGCACAUUGCGCCCCUCGGUAUUCCGGGGGGCAUGCCUGUUGGAGCGUCAUU